ACCGCAGCCUCCUCGUCUCUUCUUCUUUUCUUUCCCCAUCCGAACGCCCGCCAUUAUUGUAACUUCGAGCUUAUCAUUCUCCCUGUCCCGAUUCGCCCCCGUUGAUCCAUUCCGCUCCUCGAAACCUCGCCGCGAACGCGUCCAUCACUCCGUCUCCGGCAUCCCGGAGGAGGAAGGCUCGGAAACCCUAGUUCAAGACCUUCAGGUACCAGAAGCUUGGCUUGUUCCUUCCAAAGCCCUCGAGGAAUCAGAGUGGCUUAGAAUAACUCUCCAUAAAUGGCUGGAUGAUGAGUACUGCCCUGAGCCAACCAAUUUUAAAAUCAGCAAGCUUGCUGCUCAAUCAUACUAUGAAUCUCUGAUAUCUAAGGAGACCGAUCUCGGUGAGAUUCUACUCAAAAUUGUGAGAAGAUUGGAGACUAUAUCCUUCCAGCAAAGCUUCCAUGGAUCUUUCUCAUCAGCAAAUGCAGCAGUUCACUUGAUUACCCAGCGAAUAGAUUCUACAGCUGAGCAGUAACAUUCAGUAGAUAACACAAAAAAUGAGAAGGGACUUCAACAGGUUUUCUACUUCACUGGCAGAUUCAUCUCUUACUAUCACCUUGCCUCCUGGCCUCACAAUCCUAUCGAUCUCAGACAUAACUGGAACUCUGCAUCUGAAAUCCCAGUAUCUGGUUUCAACAAAAGGUGCGACGAGACGGAGGAGCAUAUGUUGUUAUUUUGAAAGUUAAUACUUUGAUGUGUAAAUGACCUCUUUGUAAUCAUGAGAUGUUGUGCAUGAUUGAUUUUAGUGAAUCUUUUGGAUGUAAACUUGUACACUAAAUGUAAAAGAAAGCUUUUUUUUUUUUGUUUUUUUGGGAAAUUUACAU